GAUGAACGCUGGCGGCGUGCUUAACACAUGCAAGUCGAACGAAGCACUUGAAACAGAUUCUUCGGAUGAAGUUUCCUGUGACUGAGUGGCGGACGGGUGAGUAACGCGUGGGUAACCUGCCUCAUACAGGGGGAUAACAGUUAGAAAUGGCUGCUAAUACCGCAUAAGCGCACGGCAUCGCAUGAUGCAGUGGGAAAAACUCCGGUGGGAUGAGAUGGACCCGCGUUGGAUUAGCUAGUUGGCAGGGUAACGGCCUACCAAGGCGACGAUCCAUAGCCGGCCUAAGAGGGUGGACGGCCACAUUGGGACUGAGACACGGCCCAGACUCCUACGGGAGGAAGCAGUGGGGAAUAUUGCACAAUGGGGGAAACCCUGAUGCAGCGACGCCGCGUGAGCGAAGAAGUAUUUCGGUAUGUAAAGCUCUAUCAGCAGGGAAGAAAAUGACGGUACCUGACUAAGAAGCCCCGGCUAACUACGUGCCAGCCGCCGCCGUAAAAC
rnacentral:rRNA from 1 species